GAAAUAGAACCUGAAACCGUGUGCUUACAAGUAGUCAGAGCCCGUUAAUGGGUGAUGGCGUGCCUUUUGUAGAAUGAACCGGCGAGUUACGAUUUGAUGCAAGGUUAAGCAGUAAAUGUGGAGCCGUAGCGAAAGCGAGUCUGAAUAGGGCGUUUAGUAUUUGGUCGUAGACCCGAAACCAGGUGAUCUACCCUUGGUCAGGUUGAAGUUCAGGUAACACUGAAUGGAGGACCGAACCGACUUACGUUGAAAAGUGAGCGGAUGAACUGAGGGUAGCGGAGAAAUUCCAAUCGAACCUGGAGAUAGCUGGUUCUCUCCGAAAUAGCUUUAGGGCUAGCCUCAAGUGAUGAUUAUUGGAGGUAGAGCACUGUUUGGACGAGGGGCCCCUCUCGGGUUACCGAAUUCAGACAAACUCCGAAUGCCAAUUAAUUUAACUUGGGAGUCAGAACAUGGGUGAUAAGGUCCGUGUUCGAAAGGGAAACAGCCCAGACCACCAGCUAAGGUCCCAAAAUAUAUGUUAAGUGGAAAAGGAUGUGGCGUUGCCCAGACAACUAGGAUGUUGGCUUAGAAGCAGCCAUCAUUUAAAGAGUGCGUAAUAGCUCACUAGUCGAGUGACACUGCGCCGAAAAUGUACCGGGGCUAAACAUAUUACCGAAGCUGUGGAUUGUCCUUUGGACAAUGGUAGGAGAGCGUUCUAAGGGCGUUGAAGCAUGAUCGUAAGGACAUGUGGAGCGCUUAGAAGUGAGAAUGCCGGUGUGAGUAGCGAAAGACGGGUGAGAAUCCCGUCCACCGAUUGACUAAGGUUUCCAGAGGAAGGCUCGUCCGCUCUGGGUUAGUCGGGUCCUAAGCUGA
rnacentral:rRNA from 1 species